ensembl:lncRNA LOC108352526 uncharacterized LOC108352526
GAUGGCCAACUGGCUAAAGGCACUUGCUGCCAUCCGUUCAGUCACCACUGCCCAUAUGGUAGAGGGAAAGAACCAAAUGCUACAAAUUGUCCUCUAACCUUCACAUGUGCUCAGUGACACACAUGUAUGUACACACUCAUGCAAAGUAAACAAAUGUAAAGAAAAUAACCCUAUUUAAAAAAAAAAACUCCUAAAAGCAAAAAUAAAAGGGCUAGUGUGUUUCUGAUUUAAACUUGAGGCUUUCAUUUGUCAGGAUUUUGGGGUUCUUGCCCUCAGCCUACUGCCUGCCCUGUUGUACUGUACUAGUGUUUUGAUUAUUGUAGGUGGUUAUUGUGAACAGCCACCUAAAUAAAACCUGUCACAGAUAAUAACAAGAAUUUACAGCUCUCACAUCUUGUUACGUAGAUGCUCAUAGACUGACUUAAAGUGAAUUCUCUAAGUACCUUUCCACAACACCCAUUCCUAGGAUAAAAAAGAGAAAAGUGGAAAUGGCAGAGAGCUGCUUCAACUUGAUAGCAUCUACAGGAGACCACAGCUAGCAUGGUAUUUGAUGCUUAGGUGGCUUCCAUAGAAGAUUCAAGACAGGCAAGGCUGCCCUUCUCUGUUGAUGCCUUUCAACACUGUAUGAAGUGUUUAGCAGAUCUGUCCUUUUUUUGUUUUCAGUUGCUGUGGGGUGGGUGUAUGUUACCUGGGGAAUUGCAGUCCCUCCACAAGCUUCUUAUCUUAGAUUCACUAAUAAAAAAAUUUAGAAUACUCAGAAGAAAGUUCACGGACAACUUUAUUAGAGUUUAAAAAAAAAAUUCUAGGGCCAGCAAGCUAUAAACCGUGGCUUCUACCUGGAGGAGGAAGGAAAAGAGGAGAAAGAAAAGGCCAUGAUGUUUGUAAGCUAUGUGACUGAAAGAGGAGAGCUAACAGGAUGAGAAAUUCCUGUGUGUGUGUGUGUGUGUGUGUGUGUGUGUGUGUGUGUGUGAGAGAGAGAGAGAGAGUGAGAGAGAGAGAGAGCACGCGCAUGUCUAAGAUUUGGCAAGUGUUAGAAGUAAAAAGAAAUUGGAAAAGUAUAUCCUUUUUUGAGUGAGAACUUAGGAAAGUAGAUAGGGUUAAUGAGGCUGUGUGGUUGUGGUCCUUAAGCAGCUAUGCAGAGAGCAGAGAGAGAGUCUGGAAAGAAAAAGUACAUAAUAUCAUUAAAGGUAUAAUUAUUUCUUCUAUGCCUUUAGCACACAAAAUGAGACUGCCAUUCAGAAGGGGCUCUGAUUCCAGCCCAGGUGGAAUCAUAGGACUAUUUAGGCCAGAAGUUCUACCUGGUUUCUCUUAAUGGGCCUUUAACACUACUGUAACACUGAUAUAUAUCUAUGGCAUUGAAUAGUCAGGCCACUUGUGAUAAUGAAACAGUCAUAAACUGUGGUUGGUCUUGACUGUCACUUGGGCAGAUUAAGGAGAGCCUGGCAGAUUAGUACAACAGCCAUCUGGGUGUGUCUGUGAUGGUCUUUCCAGAGAGAAAUUACCUGGGGAAAGACCCCUCCUGAGUGCAAGUGGAACCACCCCAUAAGGUGGAAAAAAGAAAAACCCCUACCAUAGGUACACACUGCUUUCUGGUCCCUGUGGCAUGAACUACUGUGCUCCACCAUACCAUACCUGUGAUGCUGGACUGAAAUCUGGUAUUGAAUGGGAAGAAACCUUGUGUCUCAACUUGUUUCUAUUGCAUUUGACUACAGUGGUGGAAGAGUGACCAGUAGAGAAAUAUGGUGUGGGGUCGGGGUUAGGGUUGGGGGAGUGCAAUUACAGCUGACUGUAAUUAAGAAGAACUGAUUUGUAGGAAGAUGUAGAGAAGCUAGCUGCAGAACCCCAGGAUUCUGCAGACAUAACUUCUGGCAGAGAGCCGAAGAACCUUUAGAUGGGAACAAGAUUUCUAUUUAGAAUUGGACUAAAGGCCAUUUGUAUUCUGUUGCCUAGAUUCUGUCCAUACCGUAAGACUAUGGGAAGCUAGGUUUAUUGGUAAGAGACUAGGUAAUCAGGAGAUUUCAAGGCAGCCCAUUAUUCCAGCUGUGGACUAGGCACUUGUGACUGGUUUAAACUAGUUUCAUAGUGAGAACUGAAAGCAAAGAAGCAGAAGAAGGAUUUGAAAAAUAAUUUAGUUAGAAAAGGAACAUGUUUAAAGUUAAAGAAAGCAAAGUGAAGAGAUUAGGCUCUUAAAAAGAACCGGGGGUGCCAGUGUUCUGUUGGGAGACAGUGCAUUGAAGAAGCAUUGAAGUCCUGGGUUCUAUCUCCAGCACUGUAUAAAAACAAAUUAGGCAUGGUGGUACAGCCUAUCAUCCCAGCACUGGUGGGGUGUGGGGUGGACAGAAGAUGUAAGGACUACUUGCCCAAGGACGGACAACUCCCUGGAAUGCUGGGGGCUGUUGUUUAUGUAAGGUAACAAGCCACAUGUUUUCACUUCAAUAAACGUAGUUGGUUGCUCCAACUGCCCAGGGUGUACUUGAUCACACGUAGGCAGGAAGUACGUCAGGAUGUAUGCUUGCUCCUGAUAGGAUGAGGACAGAAAGUACUUAGCCUUGUGGGUUUGGCUUUUAUAAGCAUCUGACUGACCAAAUCAGUGCCAUUCUCUGGAAAUCCCAGAUAGUCCUGGUCAGUGUCCAUCUUCCUAGCUUUAGUUGGACAAUCGUGGAUUUUGUCUUCUUGAAAGUUUCAGAUUUAACAGAGGAAUCAGAAGCUCGAGGACACACUUGGCUACAUCAUGAGUUCAAUUCAAGGUCAGGCUAGGAUACUUGAAACUGUCUUUAAAAAGAAGUCAAGUAUCUUGCACCAGGACAAGAGACACGGUGCUUUAAGGCUAUGAAAUUAUUGAGACCCCACUCAUCACAAUUGCCAGGACACAGAGAUGCGAACUAAUUGGAAAGACUUCCUUGCGUAGAGGACUGACACAGGGCUUUCUAAGAAGUUUCCCCAGCAUUCACCUCUCUGUGCUCCUGCACGUUGAGGCCAAUGCAUGUCAAACAGGCUCAGCCGCUCCUCAGGCUGGAGGCAGACAUCAUUCCUGUGCACAUGAUGCUGGCCAUGCAGGCAUACAAGAUGAAAGAGUUGCAGAAUCCUAGAUGUCAACCCGCCCAGCAGCCACCUAGGCUGUGUGAGGAUGAUCGAAUGGCUCUCACAACAGAAGACUCCAUGCAGGCAGCUCCUUGGAGGGCAGUGCAUGAAGCAUGGAUGCAGUGGAGACUCCACAGUGUUGGCCAUGUCAGGAAGGUAGGAUGUCCCCUGAGGAAAGCAUCAACAAAAUAGAGCUAGUGCAAGAGAAGGGCUGGGUAAGACCAUAAAGAGCCAAGACCAUAAAGAGCAAAUGGUAAGACCAUAAAGAGCCAAGUUGCCCAAGCCUAUUGGGCACAGCGCUAUGAGCUCUGGGUGCUGGACAUACAGCUACAGUAUUUAAUAUUUGCCCUGCUGGGUUUCAGAUCCUUCCUGGAUUCUUUGGGAAUGUUUAUGUUAUUGUAUCUUGGGACUAUAUAACUUGAUAUUAAGAGAGCACCCCGCUAAGUGUUUUCCCCAGUCUUGGGAGAAACUCUAUGAGAGCUUUGGAGCAUUGGGAGUAGGGGAGGGAUCGAAUCUUAUAUGGUGUAAGAAGAUGUGUGUGAGUGUCAUGUUGACAAGGAAUAGACUUGUGAUGGUUAUUACAGGUGUGUCUGUGAAGACUUGUGAAGACUCUUCUAAAGAUGACUAAGAGAUGGUGGCUUUCCUUGUAUGUGGGUGACACUGCCACAUGGGCUGGGUUCCAGACAGAGAAAAGGAAAAAGGAGAAAGCCCAUGACUGCAGGCAUUCUCUCCCUCCCUGCUGCUUUACCACCAUGCCAAGAGUGGUUCUGCUCUGCAGGCCUCCUGCAACAUAAUGGACUGAAACGUCCCUUCAACUUUGUGUGUGUUCUUUUUUUAAUCAUAGUGAGGCAAAAGUAAUAAGGAUACUGUGAGUAUAGCGCUCUGACAGG